GGACCCCAGUUUCCUUUCCCGUUGCUUCCUGCUUUUGGUGCUGGAUCUGGUUGGCGCGAGAUCUCUCCACCGGCGAUAUAACAUCUGGGCCGUUGAUUGGUGUUUGUUGAAUCAAAAUGCUGUCCGUUUGAUUGGUGGAUCGUGAAUCAGUCACCGGGAAGAGAUAUGACGAUAUAUUCUAAUGACAUCAAGUGUGCCAUCAUGGCGUACUGCUUUGCUAUCCCCUCCGUCUACACCUGCCACGUGGUCCACCAGCGUAGCAUCAAUUUCCUGAUUAUGUCAAAGGAUUGGAAGGUGAAUAAACGAUGUUUGAAUUAUGAGUUUUGCGUGUUAUAAUGGGUUAUUUUGACAAGGCGUAACAUCUUCCGUCCCUCCCUCUGGGAAAGCAUGCAGUAGUAAACUGCGUGAAGUUCAUAGAAAUAUCAGGAAUCCACGAUUAAUUGUUGCAAUUCCACCAUCCUAAUGAAUUACAUGCGUG
rnacentral:lncRNA from 1 species